UUUAAUCUCUUUAUAAAUAUAUUUAUUUCCUCAUCAUCAAUUAUUUUUACUUCAAAAGUUGUUCAAAAACUGUGUAUUAAACUGUGUGUUAUAAAGACCAAUCUAACAGCUAGUAGCUAUUCAACUAUUUUUUUUUCUGCAUUCUCACUGACUAAUGAUCAGUCAAACUAGGGGAAGGAGCCGAGUUUACACAAAAGGUAAAAAUUGACUGGAGUGAAUGUGUCCCUACUGAGUGUUGAAGAGGUACUGGCAGGAAGGAGUGAGGUUACUUCUGGAAGGUUAUGUGGCUAAAAAAAAACAAGGCUCUGUAUUUGUUUAGUAUUUUUACUUCUAAAUUGAGGAUCAAAAGUGGCAGUGAACUAAAAAUUAUGCUGGUGACACAAUGCUGGGUGGCACUGCCUGUGUAGAGGAGGAUCAAAAUAUCAUGUGAAUGAGAUGGAUAACUGAGGACUGAAGUAAAAAGAAAUGGAAGAAAUUUAAUAGCAAAAAGUUCAAGGUCAUGCAGUCACAGCCCAACGGGAACUUCUGCCAAGGACGUCAGCCUUUAUUUUGGAAACAACUGAAGAGAAGGAAAAGACUUGGGGCUAUUCUCUGGCUGUUGGGCUAAGCUUAUCUGCUACUGUGUCUGUGUGAGCUCAACUGAAAACCUGUGCACAUGUGUGAAACCAACGUGAUGAAAUCCAACUUGAUGUUCACAGAAAGUGUGUGUGUUCUCACCUGAUUGAAACUAAAUUGAAAAUGAAAACAACCUUUUUGGUGGGGAAUUAGAUAUGUGUUCCAGCUUCACAUAAAUAAAGUUUGGAGUCUUGUUAUAUAUGGGUAUAGAA